CAGCAGCCGCGGGAAUACGGAGGGUGCAAGCGUUAAUCGGAAUUACUGGGCGUAAAGCGCACGCAGGCGGUCUGUCAAGUCAGAUGUGAAAUCCCCGGGCUUAACCUGGGAACUGCAUUUGAAACUGGCAGGCUAGAGUCUUGUAGAGGGGGGUAGAAUUCCAGGUGUAGCGGUGAAAUGCGUAGAGAUCUGGAGGAAUACCGGUGGCGAAGGCGGCCCCCUGGACAAAGACUGACGCUCAGGUGCGAAAGCGUGGGGAGCAAACAGGAUUAGAUACCCCGGUAGUCCUUGUCUCUUAUAC
rnacentral:rRNA from 1 species